UCCUACGGGAGGCAGCAGUGGGGAAUAUUGGACAAUGGGCGAAAGCCUGAUCCAGCAAUGCCGCGUGAGUGAUGAAGGCCUUAGGGUUGUAAAGCUCUUUUACCAGGGAUGAUAAUGACAGUACCUGGAGAAUAAGCUCCGGCUAACUCCGUGCCAGCAGCCGCGGUAAUACGGAGGGAGCUAGCGUUGUUCGGAAUUACUGGGCGUAAAGCGCACGUAGGCGGCUACUCAAGUCGGGGGUGAAAGCCCGGGGCUCAACCCCGGAACUGCCCGCGAAACUAGGUAGCUAGAAUCUUGGAGAGGUCAGUGGAAUUCCGAGUGUAGAGGUGAAAUUCGUAGAUAUUCGGAAGAACACCAGUGGCGAAGGCGACUGACUGGACAAGUAUUGACGCUGAGGUGCGAAAGCGUGGGGAGCAAACAGGAUUAGAUACCCUUGUAGUCAU
rnacentral:rRNA from 1 species